AGUCGACGAGCGAUAGAGUGCGGAGAUCUCUGAAAACCCCUAGCAUUGUGUGGUUGAGUUUGCAACGAAUGUCUCAGCAACCAUUGGGCAUGUGGCUCACGGAAAGUCUACUGUUGUCAAAGCUAUAUCUGGUGGUGUGCAGACUGUUCUUUUAUUACCAGCAGUCAACAUCGAUAAGGCUUUUGAGUCACCACACACUCACAGUAACUGCUUUACAUAUCUGAGUCAUUUUCCAAAGCUGCUUAGUGACAUCCAAAGAGUAGUAUAUCCUACCC